rnacentral:tRNA from 1 species
GCUGGGGGAGCUCAGUGGUAGAGCAGAUGCUUAGCAUGCACGAGGUCCUGGGUUCAAUCCCCAGUCCCUCCA